CCUACGGGAGGCAGCAGUGGGGAAUAUUGCACAAUGGGCGAAAGCCUGAUGCAGCAACGCCGCGUGAGCGAUGAAGGCCUUCGGGUCGUAAAGCUCUGUCCUCAAGGAAGAUAAUGACGGUACCUGACUAAGAAGCCCCGGCUAACUACGUGCCAGCAGCCGCGGUAAUACGUAGGGGGCAAGCGUUAUCCGGAUUUACUGGGUGUAAAGGGAGCGUAGACGGCUGUGCAAGUCUGAAGUGAAAGCCCAGGGCUCAACCCUGGGACUGCUUUGGAAACUGUGGAGCUAGAGUGCUGGAGAGGUAAGUGGAAUUCCUAGUGUAGCGGUGAAAUGCGUAGAUAUUAGGAGGAACACCAGUGGCGAAGGCGGCUUACUGGACAGUAACUGACGUUGAGGCUCGAAAGCGUGGGGAGCAAACAGGAUUAGAUACCCUGGUAGUC
rnacentral:rRNA from 1 species